rnacentral:lncRNA from 1 species
UUUAUUUCGCAUAUUAUUAUCAUUAUAAUAAUCUAUUGUUGUUUAUGACUGUUGCGGUAAGAUACUGUAACGACCCGACCUCCAAGCAAUAAUAACUCGUUGGGUCCAAACCACCGGCCCAAAAUGCUUAAGCCCAGUUAUUAUUAUUAGCGUGUAGGCCUCAUAUAUUCGAAUUAGAAUCAGUUUUCCAUUCGAUGUGUAAUUAUUAGGGUGUUACAAACUCCCCCUGUUUAGACCAUGACAUCCUCGUCGGGUCCAAACUAGAUCAUAGAUGCAGACUAGAACUACCAGGCGAUGUGAGAUUCUAGAGGUGGCUCCUCGGGUUCAAGAGGUGGCUUCCACCAAAUAGGUUGGUAUAGCAUUUUGCUCCGCAUAGCACUUAGCUUUCACACUUCCGGCUAGUAUUCGGCUUUGAUACUAAUUGCAAUGACCUGACCUGCCAGCAAUAAUAACUCGUUGGCCCAAACCACUGGCCCAAAAUGCUUAAGCCAAGUUAUUAUUACUAGCGUGUAGGCCUCAUAUAUUUCAAUCAGAAUCAGUUUUCCACCAGAUGUGGGACUAU